AGGGUUUGAUUAUGGCUCAGAUUGAACGCUGGCGGUAGGCUUAACACAUGCAAGUCGUGCGAGAAAGUAUCUUCGGAUAUGAGUAGAGCGGCGGACGGGUGAGUAACGCGUAGGAAUCUACCUAGUAGAAGGGGAUAGCCCGGGGAAACCCGGAUUAAUACCGUAUACCUCCUUCGGGAGAAAGAAGGCCUCUCUUUGAAGCUUUCGCUAUUAGAUGAGCCUGCGUAAGAUUAGCUUGUUGGUGAGGUAAAGGCUCACCAAGGCGACGAUCUUUAGCUGGUCUGAGAGGACGAUCAGCCACAUUGGGACUGAGACACGGCCCAGACUCCUACGGGAGGCAGCAGUGGGGAAUAUUGGACAAUGGGCGCAAGCCUGAUCCAGCCAUACCGCGUGUGUGAAGAAGGCCUUCGGGUUGUAAAGCACUUUAAGCAGGGAGAAAAAGUUAUAAGUUAAUACCUUAUAACCGUGAUGUUACCUGCAGAAUAAGCACCGGCUAAUUCCGUGCCAGCAGCCGCGGUAAUAC
rnacentral:rRNA from 1 species